AGCCACUGACUAACGCACAUUGUGCCAGUUUCCAGUUCCACUGUGCGUGUGACAGCGGCUAA
ensembl:miRNA